rnacentral:rRNA from 1 species
GGGAAAGUUGAAAAGAACUUUGAAGAGAGAGUUCAAUAGUACGUGAAACCUCUCGGGGGUAAGCGGGCAGAACUUGCAAGUAUUGGCUGGGAAUAUUCAGGCUUAAUGUUGGCGACUGAGAGUGUAUUAUAAAGUUGUCCUUUUGGGGAUUGGCUGAUGUGUGCUCUUUGAUUUGUUGACGAUGCGCCGCAUUUAUUUCCGUCAUCGGGUUGCAUGUGACUGAGCCUGUAGUUUAGGUGCUGAGAUCCUGCGAAGCCUUGUUGUUUCGAGUCUUUGGUUUCCGACUACGGCUGCGGUCAUUAUAUCUUUUACUGGACAGGCGUUUAGGCGCGGUCAAUGGUUUGUACGAGUUGUGUGCAUGUUGUAUGUGGACGGGUAACCGUAGCAUACGAUAUGAGGCUGAUUGUCGGUAUGAGCUAAUUUGGCACUGUCCUUU